GUCUGAGCAUGCCUCUAAUACACAAUGGGCUGAAAAAUAUGUAAUAUCUUUCUCUGAGUAAAACCAUUGGAUUAUCCUACCUUCAAGGGGCCCAUUCCAUCUGAUCCUAAAAGAGAUAUCUCCUAUCAAGCAUUUUAAAUGGUCCUUAACUUGGUCCCUAAUUACGGACAAAUGUUAAUAAUAAUCAUAAAAAUGAAUCUCACUCCAAACGAAGAUGUUGAACUAACUGGGACUUAAAUUUGAAGAAGUAUUGGGGAUAGUCUAGAAUCUUCUCAGCAAAUGUAUGCCCAUAUCAGAAGAAAGGGUAUAAAUUGACACCUUGCUGCACUUCAACACCGGACCGUUUUUUUCCCCAAAUAAAGAGAGAGUGAGAGAAAGGAAGGAGGGACAUGGGACAUGCUUUUGAAGACUACAGGUGUUUUUCCUUACUGCAAGGCAAAUCCUCCUGCUGAGAGCUGGACUUUGUUUUUCUCCAGUUAAUUUCUGCAACUGAGAAUAAAUUGAGAUAGAUCACCCUGAAACUGAUCCAGUGUAAAUCAGCUAUUUCCAUAAGGUGACCAACUUUUUUUUACAAUGAGAAGGAGGACACAAAUAAAUUGAAGAAAAAAAAUGUCAUAAAUAAAGGAAACAUUUUAUUCAUUGCAACAAUAAUACAGAAUACACUAUAAUAUGAUAAAGGCAUAAAAGGCAUUUGUAACAA